rnacentral:rRNA from 1 species
UACGAAGGGGGCUAGCGUUGCUCGGAAUUACUGGGCGUAAAGCGCACGUAGGCGGCUUUCUAAGUCGGGGGUGAAAUCCUGGAGCUCAACUCCAGAACUGCCUUCGAUACUGGAGAGCUUGAGUCCGGGAGAGGUGAGUGGAACUGCGAGUGUAGAGGUGAAAUUCGUAGAUAUUCGCAAGAACACCAGUGGCGAAGGUGGCUCACUGGCCCGGUACUGACGCUGAGGUGCGAAAGCGUGGGGAGCAAACAGG